GACAAACGCUGGCGGCGUGCUUAACACAUGCAAGUCGAACGGAGUGCCUUAGAUUGAGACUUCGGUCAAUAUCUUUGGUUACUUAGUGGCGGACGGGUGAGUAACGCGUGAGCAACCUGCCUAUCAGUGGGGAAUAACGUUUGGAAACGGACGCUAAUACCGCAUGAAGCAUGAGAUUCGCAUGGAUUUCAUGUCAAAGAUUUAUUGCUGAUAGAUGGGCUCGCGUCUGAUUAGCUAGUUGGUGAGGUAACGGCCCACCAAGCCGACGAUCAGUAGCCGACCUGAGAGGGUGAUCGGCCACAUUGGGACUGAGACACGGCCCAAACUCCUACGGGAGGCAGCAGUGGGGAAUAUUGGGCAAUGGGGGAAACCCUGACCCAGCAACGCCGCGUGGAGGAAGAAGGUUUUCGGAUCGUAAACUCCUGUCCUCAGGGAAGAGCAGAAGACGGUACCUGAGGAGGAAGCCCCGGCUAACUACGUG
rnacentral:rRNA from 1 species